rnacentral:tRNA from 2 species
GCCGGGGUGGCGGAACUGGUAGACGCGACGGACUCAAAAUCCGUUUGCCGAAAGGCAGUGCGGGUUCGAUUCCCGCCCUCGGCACCA